GGUGGGGGGGGGUGCUAAUACAUGCAAGUCGAGCGGACAGAUGGGAGCUUGCUCCCUGAUGUUAGCGGCGGACGGGUGAGUAACACGUGGGUAACCUGCCUGUAAGACUGGGAUAACUCCGGGAAACCGGGGCUAAUACCGGAUGGUUGUUUGAACCGCAUGGUUCAAACAUAAAAGGUGGCUUCGGCUACCACUUACAGAUGGACCCGCGGCGCAUUAGCUAGUUGGUGAGGUAACGGCUCACCAAGGCAACGAUGCGUAGCCGACCUGAGAGGGUGAUCGGCCACACUGGGACUGAGACACGGCCCAGACUCCUACGGGAGGCAGCAGUAGGGAAUCUUCCGCAAUGGACGAAAGUCUGACGGAGCAACGCCGCGUGAGUGAUGAAGGUUUUCGGAUCGUAAAGCUCUGUUGUUAGGGAAGAACAAGUACCGUUCGAAUAGGGCGGUACCUUGACGGUACCUAACCAGAAAGCCACGGCUAACUACGUGCCAGCAGCCGCGGUAAUACGUAGGUGGCAAGCGUUGUCCGGAAUUAUUGGGCGUAAAGGGCUCGCAGGCGGUUUCUUAAGUCUGAUGUGAAAGCCCCCGGCUCAACCGGGGAGGGUCAUUGGAAACUGGGGAACUUGAGUGCAGAAGAGGAGAGUGGAAUUCCACGUGUAGCGGUGAAAUGCGUAGAGAUGUGGAGGAACACCAGUGGCGAAGGCGACUCUCUGGUCUGUAACUGACGCUGAGGAGCGAAAGCGUGGGGAGCGAACAGGAUUAGAUACCCUGGUAGUCCACGCCGUAAACGAUGAGUGC
rnacentral:rRNA from 1 species